AUCAAAAUGAGUCUUGUUGUCAUUUAAGGGAGAGCAGCAAUUGAGGUUACAAAUGAAGGUGUUGAUGCUGCAGGGCAUACAAUUGGUACAUCUUUGGAGGUCAUUUCCAACUUAGGAAGGUUCUCAACCCCGAGAGUAUCACACCUUUAGCUAAUGAUGCUGGUUUCUUUUGCUGUGAUCAUGUCAGACUUGAGGCCCUUAGAGGGAUUUGUCAUCGUCUCAGUUUUAUUCGAUACAACAUCUUGCCCUUAUACACCUUAACAAAAUGGGGUAGCCGGACGUAAAAAUAUGCAUCUUGUAGAAACCGUUUGGACCUUACUUCUCUAUGCCAAUUCCUCCUCGUGUCUUCGAGUCUACACUAUUUGUUAAAGUAAAUGCUCGUGACGGUGACGGUACGGUGAUCACCCAUGGUUCUCUUUCUCUCUCUUCCAGGUUACUCCUACCCUAUCUCAUAUCGAAACAUUGGGGACAAUGUUCGGUUUAAGUGCGGGAGGAGAUUUUUAUCGUUUUUCUUUAUUUUUAGUAUGUUUUGUGCGUUUUUAGUUGU